AACGCACGAGACCUGCGGACCUGCGGAGGGAUCAUUACAGGACUCGCAAGACUCCUACAACCCUGUGAACUUAACUAUAAGCACGUUGCUUCGGCGGGUGUCUCGGCGAGGGUCCUCCCUCCCCGGGGCGCUAAGCCCGCCGGCAGCCUACUAUACUCUGUCUCUUUGCGUUGGCAUCUCGAGUACAAACAAACAAGUUAAAACUUUUAACAACGGAUCUCUAGAUCGGAAGAGCACACG
rnacentral:misc_RNA from 1 species